CGUGUAGGCGGUCCCUUAAGUUGGCAGUGAAAUCUCCCGGCUUAACUGGGAGGGGUCUGUCAAUACUGGGGGGGCUAGAGGGCAGCAGAGGAAGGUGGAAUUCCCGGUGUAGCGGUGAUAUGCGUAGAUAUCGGGAGGAACACCAGUGGCGAAGGCGGCCUUCUGGGCUGUACCUGACGCUGAGGCGCGAAAGCGUGGGGAGUGAAGCGGAUUAGAUACCCGCGUAAUCCACGCCCUAAACGGUGGACACUAGGUAUAGGGGGUAUCGACCCCCUCUGUGCCGAAGCUAACGCUCUAAGUGUCCCGCCUGGGGACUACGGCCGCAAGGCUAAA
rnacentral:rRNA from 1 species